UCUCGGUGAUGAACAAAUUUAUGAUGACGAGUCCGAUUGAAUCCAUUCUUUUAAAAUCGUGACGACAAAGAGGCAUUUGUCUGAGAGAA